rnacentral:rRNA from 1 species
AGAGUUUGAUCAUGGCUCAGAGCGAACGCUGGCGGCAGGCUUAACACAUGCAAGUCGAGCGGGCGUAGCAAUACGUCAGCGGCAGACGGGUGAGUAACGCGUGGGAACGUACCUUUUGGUUCGGAACAACCCAGGGAAACUUGGGCUAAUACCGGAUAAGCCCUUACGGGGAAAGAUUUAUCGCCGAAAGAUCGGCCCGCGUCUGAUUAGCUAGUUGGUGAGGUAACGGCUCACCAAGGCGACGAUCAGUAGCUGGUCUGAGAGGAUGAUCAGCCACAUUGGGACUGAGACACGGCCCAAACUCCUACGGGAGGCAGCAGUGGGGAAUAUUGGACAAUGGGCGCAAGCCUGAUCCAGCCAUGCCGCGUGAGUGAUGAAGGCCCUAGGGUUGUAAAGCUCUUUUGUGCGGGAAGAUAAUGACGGGUACCGCAAGAAUAAGCCCCGGCUAACUUUCGUGCCAGCAGCCGCGGUAAUACGAAGGGGGCUAGCGUUGCUCGGAAUCACUGGGCGUAAAGGGUGCGUAGGCGGGUCUUUAAGUCAGGGGUGAAAUCCUGGAGCUCAACUCCAGAACUGCCUUUGAUACUGAAGAUCUUGAGUUCGGGAGAGGUGAGUGGAACUGCGAGUGUAGAGGUGAAAUUCGUAGAUAUUCGCAAGAACACCAGUGGCGAAGGCGGCUCACUGGCCCGAUACUGACGCUGAGGCACGAAAGCGUGGGGAGCAAACAGGAUUAGAUACCCUAGUAGUCC